UCUCAUGGGACGUACAACGGCGGGCUUCUGUCAACUGAAGCUGGUACUCUUGCCCGAGUGGUCGCAGACGGAACAAUCACCCUAGCCGGGUACCUGGGGGAGAGCAAGCUCUUGAAUGCCACCCUUCUUCCAUCCCUCCUGAUUUGUGUAGCGUCUAUCAUCGCCACCUGCAGCACUUACAAUUCUCUCUACUGAUUCCGACUCUAAUCUUCCUGUCCUAAACUUCGAACUGAUCGGCAUUUUUGUGCAUUCUUUCUCGUUUAUCGAAGCUUUAGUCCCGGCUUGUAUGUGAGUGCUUUAAAUUACAUAGGCAAUACAUGCUUCUCAUAGCUCCCAAUAUAUUUCAAGCUCUUUAAUGAUACAUGUACAGCAAAUACUACUUUCAACAUAACUUUCUUGGAAUUCUGUUAAUUGGAUUGAAGUGGUAUGGAUAUUGUUCUGUAUUUUGGCCUCUAAAGCUUAUGUUGCAGAUAUGACGGUCGAUGUGUAAAUCUAUGUUGGACCACCCAUGGUGGUGCGUAGGGCUAUCAAUGGAUUGAAUUUUGAUUCGAAUUCAAUCUGAAUGAGAUGAAAUUAAUGGGAUAUAGAUUUAGGGUCUCAAUUCGAUAACUCAAUCAAGAUUCGAAUUCGAUAAUCCGUUAACAAAAAUGAUCAAAUAUGGUUAUAUGGAUAUAGGUCAAUCUGUUAACUUUCUUGGAGUUUUGUUUAGUAAUUGGAUUGAAGUGGUAUGGAUAUUGUUAUGUAUUUUGGCCUCUGAAGCUUAUACGUUGCAGAUACGAGGUCGAUGUCUAAAUCUAUGUUGGACAGUCCAUGGUGGUGCGGCCGACAUGGAUUUGGCACAGUCGAGGCACGCGCUAGGGCCGGCCAGAGCUAGAGAAUGUGCUUUACGAGGCAAGCUUUACGUGAGAAUAAAAAUAAAGAAGAUGAGCGCUCGAAAAAUUUGAAUCGUUGUUGAGAUUGUUGAGUGCAAAAAUGUGACAUUCUAUGUGAUACAUGAAUACUCGACUAUUUUAAAUUGUUUUAAAGUUUAUUGAGUUAAUAUUUCUGUAUAGUCGAUGUUGAUCGUCUUUCAGUAUAACGUUAAUUAUCUACAAGGUAUCGUGCAAUUAAAAUCUAAAUAGGCAAUGAUAAUCAUAUUAUCAUAUCAAUUAGUCAUUUUAGUUGCGUACCAUUAAUGUACUGAAUACGUAGGUUGCCUUCAAAAUCCAACCUAGAUGAAUUUAUGAUCUUAUUGGGUCCCAAAAUUAAAUAAAUACAAUUUAAUUCUAGUGGUUGAAUAUCGCUAAAUUCUACUUAUGUCCACCUGAUUGCCAGCAGAUUCAAUUAAAAUUGUUGGGAGAAAAAAAAAAAAAAAAAAAGCAAAAAAAAAAUAGUGGGUUCAAAAAUUCAGGUGAUGUUACUUGGAGGUAGGAAGUAGAAUAGGGAUUAUGAGUUCAAAAUCUAAAACUACAAGUUAAAGCAACAAUAGUUGACCAUAAGAUUAUAGUAUUCAUUUAAUUAUACAAGGUUCGAUUCUUGAAAUUGAUGAUCUAAAUACAUUUAUUUGGGCAGUGGGAUUGGUUGUAUAAUGUCUCGAUACUUUUGAAUUUCAUGACAUGAUAUACUCAUCAUUCCGGGGGUCAGUUUGUCACUCGUCUCCCCCAUGUAAAGUUUGGCCGUAAAAUGAUCUUACUGAUGAGUUAUAGGCAAGGUUUGAUUCGUGAAAUUGGUAUGGAAAAAUGACAAAUUGUGAUUGACACUGUAUCUGUAUAUCAAUUUUGAUUUCGUGGUGUCAUCUUUUUUCACUUCAGGGGUCAACUUGUCACUCCUAUCCCGAGUAAUGUCGUUCAGGCUUUCUCAUGGGACGUACAACGGCGGGCUUCUGUCAACUGAAGCUGGUACUCUUGCCCGAGUGGUCGCAGACGGAACAAUCACCCUAGCCGGGUACCUGGGGGAGAGCAAGCUCUUGAAUGCCACCCUUCUUCCAUCCCUCCUGAUUUGUGUAGCGUCUAUCAUCGCCACCUGCAGCACUUACAAUUCUCUCUACUGAUUCCGACUCUAAUCUUCCUGUCCUAAACUUCGAACUGAUCGG
rnacentral:lncRNA from 1 species